CUGUCAGUUUGGGUUACUGUUCAUCCGGGUGGAAAAUAAGGGAUUUCAUGCCAUAAUAGGGUAUUAAGCCUAGAUUAGGCUAAGGGAGACCUUGUACUCGUGCAAGGGAGUCCCUAAUAUACAUAAAUGAUGAGUUAAUUAAUAGAAAAAGAAAAAGAGAAAGAAAAGAAAAGAUUUAGGGAACGGGGGAGUUGAAUCAAUUAAAGUUCCCUAUAUUAUAAUUGGCACGUAGAUUAUAGCCCUUGAUACUAGACUAAAUGUAUUGUAAAUGCAUGUCACAGUUGGGCAAGAAGCUAGGGAACAAGAGGAAGAAGUUCCCCACUGCCUGCUGUAGAUUUUUGGAGGCGUAUCAGGGCUGUGCCGGAUUGACAGGUGAGUGGGAGUCAUGUACUUUGCACCAUGAGCAUCCUUAAUUCAUUUUCAUGAAUGUCGCCAAGUGUGAAUUACCCGCACCCUAGGACCGUCGCGGCGGCCCGCCGGGAACGGGGCGGGGGUCGUGACAGAUUCCACUUGAGCAUAUUGAUUGAUAUUGUAGUAGAUUCCUCUAUAAUCUUGAUUCUCCAUGCUUGAUUAUUCUGUACAUGCAUUUGAGGGAACAUUGAGAGGAAUUAUGAGAGGUUGAUGAGUAAUCAAAUUGAUUCCGAAUUGUGAAAUGAUUUCUUUUGUAAAUUGAUUUCAUUUCCUCUAUUUUAAAGACUUGUGAGUUGUAGCUUGAUUAUACUCUUUUAUGAGUAAUUAAAUUGGUUCCAAAUUGUGAAAUAACUUCUUUUGUAAAUUGAUUUCAUUUCCUCCAUUUCAAAGAUUUGUAGAGCCUUUUUAGUGGUAUAUUGAGUUGUAUUGCACUUCCUUGACCCUCACUCCUAACCCUGAUGUUAGUUUAUGAUU
rnacentral:lncRNA from 1 species